rnacentral:sRNA from 1 species
AGUUUAUCAAACUGAUGCACAUACAGUUGUCAGCACGGGGUCUGGCACGAGGUCAAGUGCUCAGGAGUGGGUGGUAGCAAAUCGAUGGAUAUGAAGAUACAUAGAUGAGGGAUUGAGUCUGAGUAGGAGUCUUUUUUGGGGCUGGUGUGGUAAGAGUGAUACCCCCUCACUGCUGCCAUCUGGCCCUUGUGAUAGAAUGCACGCUGUACUAGCAUCUCCUGGGAGCUGAGGCAGACCCUGUCAGUUGUAUUUGAUGCCUUCAUCACGGGGCAGGGGAAGAAAGACUGGUCCCUCUUCCGGAUGUUCUCCCGAACCCUCACGGAGCCCUGCCCCCUGGCCUCAGAGAGCCGAGUCUAUGUGGAUAUCACCAACUACAACCAGGACAACGAGACAUUAGAGGUGCACCCAUCCCCGACCACUACAUAUCAGGACGUCAUCCUAGGCACUCGGAAGACCUAUGCCAUCUAUGACUUGCUUGACAGCGCCAUGAUCAACAACUCUCGAAACCUCAACAUCCAGCUCAAGUGGAAGAGACCC